AUUGAACGCUGGCGGCAUGCUUUACACAUGCAAGUCGGGCGGCAGCGCGGGGGCAACCCCUGGCGGCGAGCGGCGAACGGGUGAGUAACACAUCGGAACGUGCCCAAUCGUGGGGGAUAACGUAGCGAAAGCUACGCUAAUACCGCAUACGAUCUACGGAUGAAAGCGGGGGAUCGCAAGACCUCGCGCGAAUGGAGCGGCCGAUGGCAGAUUAGGUAGUUGGUGGGGUAAAGGCUCACCAAGCCGACGAUCUGUAGCUGGUCUGAGAGGACGACCAGCCACACUGGGACUGAGACACGGCCCAGACUCCUACGGGAGGCAGCAGUGGGGAAUUUUGGACAAUGGGCGCAAGCCUGAUCCAGCCAUUCCGCGUGCAGGAUGAAGGCCU
rnacentral:rRNA from 1 species